rnacentral:rRNA from 1 species
GAUGAACGCUGGCGGCGUGCCUAAUACAUGCCAGUCGAGCGAACGGACGAGAAGCUUGCUUUUCUGAUGUUAGCGGCGGACGGGUGAGUAACACGUGGAUAACAUACCUCUAAUACUGGGAUAACUUCGGGAAACCACAGCUACUACCGGCUAAUAUUUUCAACCGCAUGGUUCAAAAGUGAAAGACGGUCUUGGUGUCACUUAUAGAUGGUUCCGCGCUGCAUUAGCUAGUUGGUAAGGUAACGGCUUACCAAGGCAACGAUGCGUAGCCGACCUGAGAGGAUGAUCGGCCACACUGGAACUGAGACACGGUCCAGACUCCUACGGGAGGCAGCAGUAGGGAAUCUUGCGCAAUGGGCGAAAGCCUGACGGAGCAACGCCGCGUGAGUGAUGAAGGUCUUCGGAUCGUAAAACUCUGUUAUUAGGGAAGAACAGAUGUGUAAGUAACUGUGCACAUCUUGACGGUACCUAAUCAGAAAGCCACGGCUAACUACGUG